GACAGAGGGUGCAAACGUUGUUCGGAAUUACUGGGCGUAAAGCGCGUGUAGGCGGCUAUGCAAGUCGGAUGUGAAAGCCCUCGGCUCAACCGGGGAAGUGCACCCGAAACUGCAAAGCUAGAGUCUCGGAGAGGAUCGUGGAAUUCUCGGUGUAGAGGUGAAAUUCGUAGAUAUCGAGAGGAACACCGGUGGCGAAGGCGGCAUCCUGGACCGACAUUGACGCUGAACGGCGAAAGCUAGGGGAGCAAACGGG
rnacentral:rRNA from 1 species